UCUCUCUCUCUCUCUCUCUCUCUCUCUCUCUCUCUCUCUCUCAAUACAUCAAUGAAUAAGCGGGGAAAUGAAUGGGCACAAAAACUUGUUUUUACAUAACUCUCUAUCUUUCUGCUGAUGAAAAUUUUGCUUUUUCCUCCUAUCAACGAUUCUCUUGCUCUUGAUUGGAUGACAAGGACAGAAUAGAGGCUUUGGAGACUACACUUUACAAGCUCAAUAGGCAGCAACGGGAGACAGAGGAAAAGAUGAGAUAUUACAAUCCAAAUGUGGAGAAUAUUGAGUCAUUGACUCUCUCUCUCUCUUUGAAGCUGGAGUGUACCAACAAUUCAUUGAGAAUGCAAUAGAACAUGUAGAACAGUCAAAAAUAGCUUCAUUUAAUGUGCGGGAAGAAGAUCCAAACACCAAUGAGUCUGCAAAUUCGAACAUAAAAAGAAAUCUAUCAAGUGAUGAACAAUAUCCUGAGGAAGCAUGCUCCCCGGGACCUCACCUAAGCCUUCAGUUCCUGAAAGCACAGAAGAACUGGAACUUGGCAUGAUGUGGAUGUGCUCCGAAGUUGGGCAUCUAGUGACUUACAGAUACGGGUGCACUUAAAGAAGCUUGAAGUUUAGGUCACUGGAACUAGAAUUAAACCUCAUUAAAGCUUAGAAGUUUGUAGUUGGGCUGUCUGUGGAUCAUGGUUUUUAUUUAGCUGCUCUGUACAACUCCAAGAAUACUGUUUGCCGAAAGUUGUUGCCAACAUGGUUCGCUGAAUUUUUCAAAGAUUGGCAGUUCUAAUUGUUGUUCAGUUGGAUGGAUUACACCGGUUCCCCCACAUAUUUGCUUGCACACUGGAAUUUUAGUUAGCCUUGAGAAUGAAGCAUGAAGGCAGAAGCCAAAGGAUAUCCAACAUCAAUUAUGGUUUCCUCCCACCCCCUUUCAAGUUGUAUGCCUGCUGAUCGAGCUUUGAGAACCUAAAAUCUAUGGUUCU